GAUCCUGGCUCGGGGUGAACGCUGGCGGCGUGCUUAACACAUGCAAGUCGAACGAAGCACUUUAACCUGAUUCUUCGGAUGAAGGUUUUUGUGACUGAGUGGCGGACGGGUGAGUAACGCGUGGGUAACCUGCCUCAUACAGGGGGAUAACAGUUAGAAAUGACUGCUAAUACCGCAUAAGACCACGGAGCCGCAUGGCUCAGUGGGAAAAACUCCGGUGGUAUGAGAUGGACCCGCGUCUGAUUAGGUAG
rnacentral:rRNA from 1 species